UAACAGGUGUAGCAAUACAUGCUGACGAGUGGCGCACGGGUGCGUAACGCGUAUGCAACCUACCUAUAACUGGGGAAUAGCCUUCUGAAAGGAAGAUUAACACCGCAUAACAUCACGAAAUGGCAUCAUUUUGUGAUCAAAUCUCCGGAGGUUAUAGAUGGGCAUGCGUGACAUUAGCUAGUUGGUGAGGUAACGGCUCACCAAGGCUACGAUGUCUAGGGGGUCUGAGAGGAUGAUCCCCCACACUGGUACUGAGACACGGACCAGACUCCUACGGGAGGCAGCAGUAAGGAAUAUUGGACAAUGGGCGCAAGCCUGAUCCAGCCAUGCCGCGUGAAGGAUGACGGCCCUCUGGGUUGUAAACUUCUUUUAUAUGGGAAUAAACCCCUCUUUUCUAAGAGGGCUGAAUGUACCAUAAGAAUAAGGAUCGGCUAACUUCGUGCCAGCAGCCGCGGUAAUACGAAGGAUCCAAGCGUUAUCCGGAUUUAUUGGGUUUAAAGGGUGCGUAGGCGGACUAUUAAGUCAGUGGUGAAAGCCUGCAGCUUAACUGCAGAACUGCCAUUGAUACUGAUGGUCUUGAGUACAUUUGAGGUGGGCGGAAUGUGUCAUGUAGUGGUGAAAUACUUAGAUAUGACACAGAACUCCGAUUGCGAAGGCAGCUCACUAAACUGUAACUGACGCUGAGGCACGAAAGCGUGGGGAUCAAACAGGAUUAGAUACCCUGGUAGUCCACGCCCUAAACGAUGAUUACUCGAUGUGUGCGAUACACUGUACGCGUCUGAGCGAAAGCAUUAAGUAAU
rnacentral:rRNA from 1 species